rfam:Ictidomys tridecemlineatus contig054672, whole genome shotgun sequence.
GUGGUCGUGGCUCAGUGGUAGAGCAUUUGCCUGGCACGCUUGAAGCACUGGGUUCAAUUCUCAGCACCACA